rnacentral:rRNA from 1 species
CAUAGCGAGGAAAGAAACCAACAGGGAUUGCCCUAGUAACGGCGAGUGAAGCGGCAACAGCUCAAAUUUGAAAUCUGGCUCCUUUGGGGUCCGAGUUGUAAUUUGCAGAGGGAGCUUUUGGCGUCGGUCGUGGUCUAAGUUCCUUGGAACAGGACGUCACAGAGGGUGAGAAUCCCGUACGUGGCCGCCGGCCUUCGCCUUGUAAAGCCCCUUCGACGAGUCGAGUUGUUUGGGAAUGCAGCUCUAAAUGGGAGGUAAAUUUCUUCUAAAGCUAAAUACCCGCCAGAGACCGAUAGCGCACAAGUAGAGUGAUCGAAAGAUGAAAAGCACUUUGGAAAGAGAGUGAAAAAGCACGUGAAAUUGUUGAAAGGGAAGCGCUUGCGGCCAGACGUGCCCGCGGUUGAUCAUCCAGGCUCCAGCCUGGUGCACUCCUCCGCGGGCAGGCCAGCAUCAGUUCGGGCGGUCGGAUAAAGGCCUCUAUCACGUACCACCCCUCGGGGUGGCCUUAUAGGGGAGGCGCAACACGGCCAGCCCGGACUGAGGUUCCGCGCAUCUGCUAGGAUGCUGGCGUAAUGGCAGCAAGCGGCCCGUCUUGAAACACGGACCAAGGAGUCUAACAUCUAUGCGAGUGUUUGGGUGUCAAGCCCGAGCGCGCAAUGAAAGUGAACGGAGGUGGGAACCCUUACCGGUGCACCAUCGACCGAUCCUGAUGUCUUCGGAUGGAUUUGAGUAAGAGCAUAGCUGUUGGGACCCGAAAGAUGGUGAACUAUGCCUGAAUAGGGUGAAGCCAGAGGAAACUCUGGUGGAGGCUCGCAGCGGUUCUGACGUGCAAAUCGAUCGUCAAAUUUGGGCAU